AACGAACGCUGGCGGCAGGCUUAACACAUGCAAGUCGAACGCCCCGCAAGGGGGAGUGGCAGACGGGUGAGUAACACGUGGGAACGUGCCCUUCGCUUCGGGAUAGCCUCGGGAAACUGGGAGUAAUACCGAAUACGCCGUAUUGGGAAAGAUUUAUCGGCGAAGGAUCGGCCCGCGUUGGAUUAGCUAGUUGGCGGUGUAAUGGACCACCAAGGCUACGAUCCAUAGCUGGUCUGAGAGGACGACCAGCCACACUGGGACUGAGACACGGCCCAGACUCCUACGGGAGGCAGCAGUGGGGAAUCUUGGACAAUGGGCGCAAGCCUGAUCCAGCCAUGCCGCGUGAGUGAAGAAGGCCUUAGGGUUGUAAAACUCUUACCGCCGGUGAAGAUAAUGACGGUAACCGGAGAA
rnacentral:rRNA from 1 species